GAUGAACGCUGGCGGCGUGCCUAAUACAUGCAAGUCGAGCGAACAGAUGAGGAGCUUGCUCCUCUGACGUUAGCGGCGGACGGGUGAGUAACACGUGGAUAACCUACCUAUAAGACUGGGAUAACUUCGGGAAACCGGAGCUAAUACCGGAUAAUAUAUUGAACCGCAUGGUUCAAUAGUGAAAGACGGUUUUGCUGUCACUUAUAGAUGGAUCCGCGCCGCAUUAGCUAGUUGGUAAGGUAACGGCUUACCAAGGCAACGAUGCGUAGCCGACCUGAGAGGGGGAUCGGCAAAACUGGAACCGAACCACGGUCCCGGUACCUACGGAAGGCCGCAGAGGGGAUUCUUCAGCAAUGGGCGAACGCCUGACGGAGCAACGCCACGUGUGGACUAAAGCACUUCGCAUCGAAAAACUCUGUUAUUAGGGAUAAACAAAUGUGUAAGAAACGAUGCACGUUUUGACGGUACCUAAUAAGAACGCCACGGCUAACUACGU
rnacentral:rRNA from 1 species